AACGAGAAAGGUCCCUUCGGGGGCUGAGUAAAGUGGCGCACGGGUGAGUAACGCGUAGAUAACCUGCCCCUAUGUCUGGGAUAACAUCGGGAAACCGGUGCUAAUACCGGAUGUGCUUCUGAUGCGUAGGCAUAAGAAGUAAAGGUAGCCUCUGAUGCAAGCUGCCGCAUGGGGAUGGGUCUGCGUACCAUUAGCUAGUUGGUGGGGUAACGGCCCACCAAGGCGACGAUGGUUAGCGGGUCUGAGAGGAUGAUCCGCCACACUGGCACUGGAACACGGGCCAGACUCCUACGGGAGGCAGCAGUGAGGAAUAUUGCGCAAUGGGGGGAACCCUGACGCAGCGACGUCGCGUGGAUGAAGAAGGCCUUCGGGUCGUAAAGUUCUGUCAGGAGGGAAGAAGUGCAUAGAGGUGAAGAGCCUCUAUGUU
rnacentral:rRNA from 1 species